AACGCACAUUGCGCCCCGUGGUAUUCCGCGGGGCAUGCCUGUUCGAGCGUCAUUUAAACCAAUCCAGCUUGCUGGGUCUUGGGCUCUCGCCUCCGGGCGGGCCCUAAAAUCAGUGGCGGUGCCGUCCGGCUCUAAGCGUAGUAAUACUCCUCGCUACAGGGUCCCGGGCGGUCGCUUGCCAGCAACCCCUAAAUCUUUCAGGUUGACCUCGGAUCAGGUAGGGAUACCCGCUGAACUUAA
rnacentral:misc_RNA from 1 species